CCUACGGGGGGCAGCAGUGGGGAAUAUUGGACAAUGGGCGAAAGCCUGAUCCAGCCAUGCCGCGUGUGUGAAGAAGGCCUUCGGGUUGUAAAGCACUUUCAGUGGGGAAGAAAGCCUUGGGGCUAAUACCCUCGAGGAAGGACAUUACCCACAGAAGAAGCACCGGCUAACUCCGUGCCAGCAGCCGCGGUAAUACGGAGGGUGCGAGCGUUAAUCGGAAUUACUGGGCGUAAAGCGCGCGUAGGCGGUCUGAUAAGCCGGUUGUGAAAGCCCCGGGCUCAACCUGGGAACGGCAUCCGGAACUGUCAGGCUAGAGUGCAGGAGAGGAAGGUAGAAUUCCCGGUGUAGCGGUGAAAUGCGUAGAGAUCGGGAGGAAUACCAGUGGCGAAGGCGGCCUUCUGGACUGACACUGACGCUGAGGUGCGAAAGCGUGGGUAGCGAACAGGAUUAGAUACCCGGGUCGUC
rnacentral:rRNA from 1 species